AGUACGCUCGGCGGCAGGCUUAACACAUGCAAGUCGAGCGGUAGCACAGGGGAGCUUGCUCCCUGGGUGACGAGCGGCGGACGGGUGAGUAAUGUCUGGGAAACUGCCUGAUGGAGGGGGAUAACUACUGGAAACGGUAGCUAAUACCGCAUAACGUCGCAAGACCAAAGAGGGGGACCUUCGGGCCUUUUGCCAUCAGAUGUGCCCAGAUGGGAUUAGCUAGUAGGUGGGGUAAUGGCUCACCUAGGCGACGAUCCCUAGCUGGUCUGAGAGGAUGACCAGCCACACUGGAACUGAGACACGGUCCAGACUCCUACGGGAGGCAGCAGUGGGGAAUAUUGCACAAUGGGCGCAAGCCUGAUGCAGCCAUGCCGCGUGUGUGAAGAAGGCCUUCGGGUUGUAAAGCACUUUCAGCGAGGAGGAAGGUGGUGAGCUUAAUACGUUCAUCAAUUGACGUUACUCGCAGAAGAAGCACCGGCUAACUCCGUGCCAGCAGCCGCGGUAAUACGGAGGGUGCAAGCGUUAAUCGGAAUUACUGGGCGUAAAGCGCACGCAGGCGGUUUGUUAAGUCAGAUGUGAAAUCCCCGGGCUCAACCUGGGAACUGCAUUUGAAACUGGCAAGCUAGAGUCUCGUAGAGGGGGGUAGAAUUCCAGGUGUAGCGGUGAAAUGCGUAGAGACUGGAGGAAUACCGGUGGCGAAGGCGGCCCCCUGGACGAAGACUGACGCCCAGGUGCGAAAGCGGGGGAGCAAAC
rnacentral:rRNA from 1 species